GAACCCAAACACUUUGGUUUCCCGUAAGGCGCCGAAUGAGUCAUUAAAAAAUUAACAUCAUCCGAUCCCUAGUCGGCAUAGUUUAUGGUUAAGACUACGACGGUAUCUGAUCGUCUUCGAUCCCCUAACUUUCGUUCUUGAUUAAUGAAAACACCCUUGACAAAUGCUUUCGCAGUAGUUAGUCUUCAAUAAAUCCAAGAAUUUCACCUCUGACAAUUGAAUACUAAUGCCCCCAACUAUCCCUAUCAAUCAUUACGUCGAUCCUAGAAACCAACAAAAUAGAAUCAAACGUCCUAUUUCAUUAUUCCAUGCUAAUGUAUUCAAGCGUGAGCCUGCUUUAAACACUCUAAUUUUUUCGAAGUAACAGUCCUGAUUCCCCACGACACCAAAUAAAUGACAUCAUGGUUCUUCAGAAGAGAGAAACCAACGAUGCCAGUACGUACCGAGGCACGACCGACAUAUUGGUCCCGAAAUUCAACUACGAGCUUUUUAACUGCAGCAACUUUAAUAUACGCUAUUGGAGCUGGAAUUACCGCGGCUGCUGGCACCAGACUUGCCCUCCAAUUGUUCCUCGUUAAGAGAUUUAAAUUGUACUCAUUCCAAUUACGAAAUCCGAAAGAACCCCGUAUUGUUAUUUAUUGUCACUACCUCCCCGUGUCGGGAUUGGGUAAUUUGCGCGCCUGCUGCCAUCCUUGGAUGUGGUAGCCGUUUCUCAGGCUCCCUCUCCGGUGUCGUGCCCUAACACCCCGUUACCCGUUACCACCAUGGUAGGCCUCUAUCCUACCAUCGAAAGUU
rnacentral:rRNA from 1 species